rnacentral:rRNA from 1 species
CGCGUGUGUGAAGAAGGCCCUCGGGUUGUAAAGCACUUUCAGCGAGGAAGAACGCCUAGUGGUUAAUACCCAUUAGGAAAGACAUCACUCGCAGAAGAAGCACCGGCUAACUCCGUGCCAGCAGCCGCGGUAAUACGGAGGGUGCAAGCGUUAAUCGGAAUUACUGGGCGUAAAGCGCGCGUAGGUGGCUUGAUAAGCCGGUUGUGAAAGCCCCGGGCUCAACCUGGGAACGGCAUCCGGAACUGUCAAGCUAGAGUGCAGGAGAGGAAGGUAGAAUUCCCGGUGUAGCGGUGAAAUGCGUAGAGAUCGGGAGGAAUACCAGUGGCGAAGGCGGCCUUCUGGACUGACACUGACACUGAGGUGCGAAAGCGUGGGUAGCAAACAGGAUUAGAUACCCUGGUAGUCCACGCCGUAAACGAUGUCGACCAGCCGUUGGGUGCCUAGCGCACUUUGUGGCGAAGUUAACGCGAUAAGUCGACCGCCUGGGGAGUACGGCCGCAAGGUUAAAACUCAAAUGAAUUGACGGGGGCCCGCACAAGCGGUGGAGCAUGUGGUUUAAUUCGAUGCAACGCGAAGAACCUUACCUACUCUUGACAUCCUGCGAACUUGUGAGAGAUCACUUGGUGCCUUCGGGAACGCAGAGACAGGUGCUGCAUGGCUGUCGUCAGCUCGUGUUGUGAAAUGUUGGGUUAAGUCCCGUAACGAGCGCAACCC